GGAUCAUUAUCGUAUAAACUUGAACAGGCUGUUGCUGGCUCUCGGGCGCGUGCACGCUUGUCUCAUCUUUAUUAUUUUCUCCAACUGUGCACAUUUUGUAGAUCCCCUCCUGUUAUGAAUUCACGUUCGAGUCGGGACUGCUGUUGCUUUUCUUUGAGAGAGAGGCCGGCUUUUCCUUGCAUCAGGGGGUCUAUGUCAUCUUUCACAAACCUCUCGAAUGUGUUUAGAAUGUAAUCGUUGAUAUAAAAAAUAUACAACUUUCAGCAACGGAUCUCUUGGCUCUCGCAUCGAUGAAGAACGCAGCGAAAUGCGAUAAGUAAUGUGAAUUGCAGAAUUCAGUGAAUCAUCGAAUCUUUGAACGCAUCUUGCGCUCCUUGGUAUUCCGAGGAGCAUGCCUGUUUGAGUGUCAUUUAACUUAUCAACCAUGUUCAUGUCUGAACGUGGCUUGGAUGUGGAGGUUCUUUGCAGGCUCUCUUCAAAAAAGAGUCGGCUCCUCUGAAAUGUAUUAGUGGUAUCUGAGCUGCUACUAUAGGUGUGAUAACUAUCUAUGCCUUUGGUGGGUUGCAUGAACAGAUUGCGCUGCUUAUAACAAAAAAAUAAUCUUUUAUGACAAACUUGACCUCAAAUCAGGUAGGACUACCCGCUGAACUUAA
rnacentral:rRNA from 1 species